rnacentral:rRNA from 1 species
GACGAACGCUGGCGGCGUGCUUAACACAUGCAAGUCGAACGGAAAGGCCCUGCUUUUGUGGGGUGCUCGAGUGGCGAACGGGUGAGUAACACGUGAGUAACCUGCCCUUGACUUUGGGAUAACUUCAGGAAACUGGGGCUAAUACCGGAUAGGAGCUCCUGCUGCAUGGUGGGGGUUGGAAAGUUUCGGCGGUUGGGGAUGGACUCGCGGGUUAUCAGCUUGUUGGUGGGGUAGUGGCUUACCAAGGCUUUGACGGGUAGCCGGCCUGAGAGGGUGACCGGCCACAUUGGGACUGAGGGACGGCCCAGACUCCUACGGGAGGCAGCAGUGGGGAGUAUUGCACAAUGGGCGGAAGCCUGAUGCAGCAACGCCGGGUGCGGGAUGACGGCCUUCGGGUUGUAAACCGCUUUCGCCUGUGACGAAGCGUGAGUGACGGUAAUGGGUAAAGAAGCACCGGCUAACUACGUG